CGGACGGGUGAGCAAUGCGUAGGAAUCUGCCCUUAAGUGGGGGAUAGCCCGGAGAAAUUCGGAUUAAUACCGCAUGUGCUCUACGGAGCAAAGCGGGCCUCUGUUUCAAGCUCGCGCUUGAGGAUGAGCCUACGUCGGAUUAGCUAGUUGGUGGGGUAAAGGCCUACCAAGGCGACGACGGGUAGCUGGUCUGAGAGGACGAUCAGCCACACUGGGACUGAGACACGGCCCAG
rnacentral:rRNA from 1 species